UUAGUGUAGCCUUUGCGUUUGUUAUUAUGAUGUUGGGAGAUCUUCUUUAAUUUGUAUGAACUGAUGGAAUGAUUAUGGAAUUACAGAAUGUGGCCUGAUGGUCAGACUGCUGUUACUGCAGAUUGGAAGCGCAGUGCUCACUUUUGAGCAUACUUUACUGGUAUCCCUUAUGACCUUUUAUGUGUCUCUCAACUGUCAAAUUUGAAAGUUAUCUUGGUUUAGGGGCUAACUAUGGCGCAGAGAUGGACUUCUUGACGUUGUGGUAUAAACAAUCUGGAGAGUACAAAUGCUUGAGGAGUCCUAUGCCGAUGUUUUCUAAUGCAACAUUUUGUGAUCCCUUUAUCUUAGGGGGACUAAGGACAUGUAGGCUAUGCUUGUGUUUGCGCAUGUGAAAUUGUGAAUGAUGAUGAAACAUCGCAGCUGUUCAUGUUUGAACACUAAAUACGGAGUAAGAAUGAAGACGCUGCUGGAAAAGACUAAACAUGUUAAAGGGUCAGAAUUUGAGUGUCGCAACAUGAUAACAUACACAAUCUAUUUCAAUUCAUUAUUUACAAAAGAAAUGUUAUACAUGUAACAUGUAAGAACUAUGUUGUAGAAAUCUGUAAGAAAUAAAUCUGUAAGAAAUAUAUUUCUUCCUUCAAAUACAAAGUUUUAUUUGAUUAACCAUAAUUGAGAUAAUUCAAUAAAAAUAAUUGCACAAUUAAUUUUUUUCUAC